rnacentral:tRNA from 1 species
AAGGAUUUAAGUUAAAUAAACUAAUAACCUUCAAAGUUAUCAUUAAAAAAAUUUUUAAGCCUUA